rnacentral:rRNA from 1 species
UACGUAGGGUGCGAGCGUUAAUCGGAAUUACUGGGCGUAAAGCGUGCGCAGGCGGUUUUGUAAGCCAGAUGUGAAAGCCCCGGGCUUAACCUGGGAAUGGCAUUUGGGACUGCAAGGCUUGAGUGCGGCAGAGGAGACUGGAAUUCCCGGUGUAGCAGUGAAAUGCGUAGAUAUCGGGAGGAAUACCGAUAGCGAAGGCAGGUCUCUGGGCCGGAACUGACGCUGAGGAGCGAAAGCAUGGGGAGCGAACAGG